rnacentral:rRNA from 1 species
AUUGAACGCUGGCGGCAGGCUUAACACAUGCAAGUCGAGCGGGGUGAUGGUGCUUGCACUAUCACUUAGCGGCGGACGGGUGAGUAAUGCUUAGGAAUCUGCCUAUUAGUGGGGGACAACAUCUCGAAAGGGAUGCUAAUACCGCAUACGUCCUACGGGAGAAAGCAGGGGAUCACUUGUGACCUUGCGCUAAUAGAUGAGCCUAAGUCGGAUUAGCUAGUUGGGGGGAUAAAGGCCUACCAAGGCGACGAUCUGUAGCGGGCCUGAGAGGAUGAUCCGCCACUCUGGGACUGAGACACGGCACAGACUCCUACGGGAGGCAGCAGUGGGGAAUAUUGGACAAUGGGGGGAACCCUGAUCCAGCCAUGCCGCGUGUGUGAAGAAGGCCUUAUGGUUGUAAAGCACUUUAAGCGAGGAGGAGGCUCUUUUGGUUAAUACCCAAGAUGAGUGGACGUUACUCGCAGAAUAAGCACCGGCUAACUCUGUGCCAGCCGCCGCGGUAAUAC